rnacentral:tRNA from 1 species
GGGCCGAUCGUACAGUGGUAAUACACCGCAUUCGCAUUGCGGAGACGAGGGUUCGAUUCCCUCCCGGUCCA